CUGUAAACUGUGAUGGAACAUGGAAGAACAGGGCGGGACUGUAAGCCAGCUGGAAAAAGUUUGGAGCCAGAGAUACAUGAGAAGAGUUUGGACAGUACUGGAAAUCAAACCCGAGGCUUCUCACAUUGUUGGCAAGAGCUAUGACCCCUGACCUACACCUUCUUGUGCUCGCGUUUCUUUCUGAAAGACAAAACAGAGUGACAUUUCAGAAGACUCAACUGUGUGGGUGCAAAUUGCAGCCUUGGGACUUUCGGCUGCACGAGACUGGACAAACUUCUUAACUUCCUUGUACCUCAGUUUCCCCAUGUGGAGGAAAAGCUAAUAGUGCCUAACUCAUCUGUCAAGAUUAACAAGAUAAUGUCCACUAGGUGUCUCACACGGGCCCUUAAGGCAUGCCCCCACUCAUGCAAAGAAAUAGGGAGUCAUAAUUUGCUUAUCAAUUCCCCCAUAGUUGUCAAGAAGACAUUUUUCUUUCUAUCUAAAUGUCUCUUUUCCACCACCCUGACUUCUGCAGACUAGAUUCUAUCCCUCGGAUUCAGUUCUCCUUUCGGCAAACUUAAAGAAGCAGAAAAAUUAUUGUUAAAAGGAUAGAGAAGAUUUUUAUCGUCCCUGAUGUCUACUUGAAAAACACAAACAUCUGUCUUUCUGAGCACCAUCCAGAGGCUUCUAAAAUGCUGUGAAUAAAACAACUUAACAUCUAGCUGAGACAGUGUAGAUGGAUGAGUGUGUUUUUUAUAUAAAGUGAUUUUCUUCAGGUCUAUGAAGUGAGUUGCCAGAGCUACGU
rnacentral:lncRNA from 1 species